rnacentral:rRNA from 1 species
CCGUGAUAAAGUAGCAUAAUCACUCGUCAUUUAAUUGGUGACUGGAAUGAAUGGUUACACGAAUCUUUAACUGUCUCAAGAAGAAAGUUCAAUUAAUUUGAAAAAACAGUGAAGAUGCUGUUAACAAAAUUGUAAGACGAAAAGACCCUUUCGAGCUUUACUAUAAGCUUAUAGAAAAAAUCUUUAAUAAAAAUAUAAUAAAAACAAACUGUAAGCCAGUUAGUUUGGUUGGGGCGACCACCUCUAAAACAGUAUCAGAGGAAAUCUAAAGGUAUAAUAGUAAUAUUAAUUGCCUUACUGUAUACAAACAAGUUAAUCAGUUACUAUUAUGUAGGAUAUAAUGACCCGUUGAAUUAAUUUCAUAAUUCAACGACCAUGAAAAAAGUUACCGUAGGGAUAACAGGGUAAUAUUAUCAGAGAGUUCAUAUCGAUGAUGAU